rnacentral:rRNA from 1 species
GACGAACGCUGGCGGCGUGCUUAACACAUGCAAGUCGAACGGAAAGGCCCCUUUGGGGGUACUCGAGUGGCGAACGGGUGAGUAACACGUGUGUAACCUGCCCUUGAAUUCGGGAUAACUUCAGGAAACUGGGGCUAAUACCGGCUAGGAAUCCUUGCUGCAUGGUGGGGGUUGGAAAGCUUCGGCGGUUUUGGAUGGACUUGCGGCUUAUCAGCUUGUUGGUGGGGUAGUGGCUUACCAAGGCUUUGACGGGUAGCCGGCCUGAGAGGGCGACCGGCCACAUUGGGACUGAGAGGCGGCCCAGACGCCUACGAGAGGCAGCAGUGGGGAAUAUUGCACAAUGGGCGGAAGCCUGAUGCAGCAACGCCGCGGGCGGGAUGACGGCCUUCGGUUUGUAAACCGCUUUCAGCAGGGGCGAAGCUUGUGGUGACGGUACCUGCAGAAGAAGCACCGGCUAACUACGUG